CCUAGCUGGAUAAGGGAGCCGCUGUGAGCCAAGAACAUUGAUCAUUGCAGGGACGCCUCGUUCCAGUGCAAACCACACCUGUGCUUCGUGCGUGUCUCUCGGAGCAAAAGACAUUGCGAUUAUAUCCCUCUUCAGCAGCCUGUAUCAAGAGCGGUCCGGAUGGAUCCGUCCUUGAGGGGGAUGAGGGCAGCAAUGUCAUCAAUGUAAGCAUCAGCGCCACGCGGGAACAUAGUCCCUCCACCUGGGAAUCUAAAGCGAUCGCCCUCGACUUGGAUCCAAUUCUGGUUAGCCUUCUCAAUGCUGAGCUCCUUGUGAGGGAUGUUGCCAAUCCACGCGUAGUCCCUGCUCUGCGGCCACUUGAAAGGCGCCUUGUAACGGUCCGGAGCAGGGAUGAGGCAUCGAAGGAGCUCGUCCUUGGUGGGGCAAUGCCUCUCCCGGUACUUGAGCAUGUCGCGAUCAAACUGCCUCCCCCUCUGGCGAUCAUUGCACGGGGUGUACUCGCUGUACUUCAUGUCGCAGGGGGGGAACGUCUCGGCCUGCUCGGACGUGUUGAUGACCAGCUGGUGGUGGCUCUCGAAGUCGAGGGUGUCGGAGACCAAGGGGGAGUCCGACGAGGAGGGGGAGUCGGAGUCCCCCUUGGUGGCCGGGGUGUCGUCGCAGCCGACACGGGACGAGAACUGGGAGCCGGGGGGGGGGACGCUGCGGCCCUGCCAAGCGCCUAAAGCGUAGAAGAUGACACAGAGACAACUGACGCCUAAGAUGUAAGUGAUGCGUUUUCGCCUCAUGUUCAGCUGAUGAGGCUUUGGGGAUCCGUUAUACUCCUUCCCCAUUUAUACCAAUCUAGCUCUACACAUUACACAACAAAGGCCAUAUUCUUCUUGUUUAACAAAUUAUGUUUCUAUUUAACCAUUUUUAGCAAUUUGUUUGCUUCAAUUUGUUAAUUGAAUGGAUCUGCAGAUAGACAUACCUUUGGUCUCCUUCCAGAGUGUUAUUGAUGAGCUAUUGCAGCCCCUAUUGCCUAUGCAUGAACAAAAGGUGAAAUUCCAUUUAUAAA